rnacentral:rRNA from 1 species
CCUACGGGAGGCAGCAGUAGGGAAUAUUGCUCAAUGGGGGAAACCCUGAAGCAGCAACGCCGCGUGGAGGAUGAAGGUUUUCGGAUUGUAAACUCCUUUUGUUAGAGAAGAUAAUGACGGUAUCUAACGAAUAAGCACCGGCUAACUCCGUGCCAGCAGCCGCGGUAAUACGGAGGGUGCAAGCGUUACUCGGAAUCACUGGGCGUAAGGAGCGCGUAGGCGGGAUAGCAAGUCAGAUGUGAAAUCCUAUGGCUUAACCCUAGAACUGCAUUUGAAACUGUUAGUCUAGAGUAUGGGAGAGGUAGGUGGAAUGCUUGGUGUAGGGGUAAAAUCCGUAGAGAUCAAGAGGAAUACUCAUUGCGAAGGCGACCUGCUAGAACAUAACUGACGCUGAUGCGCGAAAGCGUGGGGAGCAAACAGGAUUAGAUACCCCAGUAGUC